GUCUCUAAAGGUUUCUGUAUUCCUAAUCUCAUCUCAGAAAAUGGAUUUAAAGUCUAGUGCUCUUUGAUAUUUUAAAGUAGUGGGUUCAUACAAUAAUAAGAUUUUUAAAAAUUAAUUCCUAAACCUAGCUUCAUUAGGCAGGAGCCACUGGGUGAUACUCUCCAGGCAUCAAUUAUCGUCCAAGUUCAACAGCUAUGAGAACACAGCCCUGCUUUCCUAGACACAGGUGGGGGAAGCAACCUGAAGGUCUGCAGAAGGGAGAAAAAACUGGCAGGAGGGUCUCAGGAAAGGUCACUGGAAGCCUGCAGGAUGAGUACCCACACUUCCUGGAAGGACUCUGAGCAAGUGCAGAACAGAGAGACAGCCAGGGAGACAAUCGGCAGAGGUGGGAGACAACCCAGAGGAGGAGACAAUAUUUACACACCACACAUCUCAUGGGGCCCCUGUGCAAAACACAAGCAACUCAAACUCCUCCAGAGCGAGAAAACAACCCACUAGAAGGGCUUAAGGCGCCUGUGUGGACACCUCAGAUGAAGACAUGUGAAUGGCCAGCAGGUCUAGGAAAAGGUGCUCGUCAUCACUCAUCAUCAGGGACAUGCAAAUCCAAACCACAAGGCACCCCUCACGCCUGCUAGAGUGGCUGUUCCCAAAAAGACACAUGGAACGAGUGUUGGUGAGGAUUCGGGGGAAAGAGUGAAACUCUGGAGGGAUAGAGGGAGGGAAGGUUGAAAAACUGCCUAUUGGGUACUAUCCUCAUAUCCUGGGUGAUGGGUAGAGUCAUACCUCAAACCUCAGCAUCACUCAAUAUACUCAUGCAACAAAUCUGCACAGGUACCCACCGAAUCUAAAACACAAGUUCAAAUUAUAAAAAAAAAUUUAAAAAGAAGUAAAUAACAUAAGUAAUAAUUAAAAACCCACCGGCCCCAACAUAUUAUUAUUAACAAAGGUCAUCAGGGUGAAGUUUGGAAACAGGUAUACAUUGUGAUGCAAUCGUCAGAACCAAGCUAGUUAACAUCUCCACCACCUCACAUAGAUACCAUGUUCUUUCCUUCUUAUUAUUUAUUUAACUCUUGGGCUCAAGCAAUCCUGCUUCAGCCUCCCUAGCAGCUGGGGUUACAGGCACGAGCCACAUCUGGCUUUCUUUUUAUUUCUUGAUGUGUGUGUGUGUGUGUGUGUGUGUGUGUGUGUGGUGGAAACAUUUAAGAUACACCCUCUGAGCAAAUUUCAAGUAUACACUACAGAUGCUCCUCGACUUACAAUGAAGUUACAUCCUGAUAAACCCUACUGUGAAUGUAAAAUAUAGAAAAUAAAAAUGCAUUUACUAUUAGGUCACUUACUGAACAUCAGCACUUAGCCUAGCCUACCUUCGACGUUCUCAGAACAUUUACAUUCCCCUGCAGUCAGGCAAAAUCAUUCACAGGAAACCUAUUUUAUAAUAGAGCACUGAAUAUCUCAUGUCGUUUAUUGAACAUUGUACUGAAAGUGACAAUCAGAAUAGUGUGUGAAUACUCCUCAGUAACGUACACAGCUGAAAGCAGAACUUUGAGAUCAGACUGGCAACAUGGCAAAACCCGGUCUCUACAAAAAACACGAAAGUUCACUGGGCAUUAUGGUGCAAGCCUGUAGUCCCAGCUACCUGGGAGUCUGAGGCAGAAGAAUUGCUUGAGCCUGGGAGGUCAAGGUUGCAGUGAGCUGUGAUCACGCCACUGCACUCCAGCCAGGGCAACAGAGCCAGACCCUUUCUCAAAAAAUAAAUGAAUACAUAAAUGUUCCCCUCAUACAAAAAAGAUAAGUAUGCAAGUCACUCAUAUGUCAAAUUAUUAGAUUUAGCAUUGCACGUUGUAUAUAUGUAUCAAAACAUUAUGUUGUACACCAAAAAUGUGUAUGUACCAUUUUUAUUUGUAAAUUUAUAAAGUUAAUAAUAACAUCUAAAAGAAAAUAAAGUUUCUCUAAGAAUGUGUGACCAACCACCAUCCUUCUCUCAUGGGGAUGUGGAGUUUCCCUCGUCUUGGAUGUCUAACAGACCUGUCAAUCACCACACAUCCCAGACCGACCACAUCUUUCCCCACCUCACAUAAAGGUGGCUCCAGCCCCCUUGAUGUGCAGUCCACAAGAUUUGUGGGGUUAUCCUUGAUUCCUGCAUUUCCCUCACAUGACACACUCAGUCUCUCAACAAAUCCUAUACCUUAAUUAAUGUGUUUAUUGACAAGAAUUUCACGCGACAUAAAAUUAACUGUUUUAUCUGUACAGUUUAGCGGCAUUUGGUGCAUUUACACUGCUGUGCAGCAGCUCCUCUAGCUGGUUCCUG
rnacentral:lncRNA from 1 species